CUCGGUUUCACAGUUUAGACAUAACUAGCAAGUAUAACUUCAGGAAACUACUUGACGUAACUCAGUUUUCAUACAUGAGAAAAAAAAAAAUCGUGGGAAUUUUCAAAACUAGGCACUAACAUCAUUUCUAGCCUAGCAUUUGUAAAUGCAUUGAAGAAUUAUUGGGCUCUUCUGGUACUAAUAAAAGGCAGAUUUGCUAGAUUGGUCCAUAUUCAGUCAUUUGCUGGACUUCCAACAUCAAAUAAUUCAGCUGCUUUUAUCUUCUCAGCUGCUGCAGCAGCUGAUGAUGCUGCCUUGUCCAAACCUAGCUUUUGUAGUUCAUUCACGAAACCAUUUAUAUCUGCUGCACUGAUUUUAUAUGGACUAUAGGCAGGACAAGGGAAUGAACCAUUUGAUACGUCUUCCUUGUAUUCAAGUAGAGCUUUGUUUAUGACAUCUCCCACACGUGCAUACUGCUUACAGAAUUUUGGAGUAACUUUGGCAUGAUGUGGAUGUUGCAUCAUUCCCAGAAGAUCAUGGUAAACUAACACCUGGCCACUGCAGAACGGCCCUGCUCCAAUGCCAAUGGUGGGAAUUCGAAGAGAAGAUGUUGCUGCAGCAGCUACAGGCGCAGGUACACACUCCAAAACCACAGAGAAACACCCUGCUUCCUGCAGAGCUACUGCAGUCUCCACAACCUUGAUAGCACUGGAAAUAUUCUUCCCUUGAGGCCUGAAUCCCCCAAGAACACUGAUGGCCUGAGGAGUGAGUCCUACAUGGCCCAUAACUGCAAUUCCAGCCUCAACUAUAGCUUUGGCAGCUGUAAUUCUCGAGGGUGAACCUCCUUCCAACUUAAUGGCGUCCAUUCCUCCCUCCUUCAAAACCCGAACCGCCGUAUCAACUGCCUGAUUGUUGCUGGACUCAUAGGUGCCAAAGGGCAAGUCACCAACGAGAAGUGGCCUUUUGGCGCCGCGAGCAACAGCGCGGCAAUGGACUAGCAUCUCCUCAAGGGAGAUAGGGAGAGUGGUAUCGUAACCGUGAACAACCAUGGCGGCCGAAUCACCGACUAAACAAAUAUCGAUGCCGGCUGUGUCGAGGUGCACCGCAGAGGGAUAGUCGUAUGCUGUUACAACACUUAUGGGCUCACCCUUCUUGUGCUUUUGCUUCAAAUGGGUUAGAGUGACUCUCUGGUUAGGGUUCUGGGGCUUUGGUCCUCCGUAGACGGUGUUUUCCGGGACAUUGCUCAUACAGCGGAGGCGAUGGAAGAGAUAAUGCGGUCUGACAAUGGAAGGCGACCUGUAGAGUUUGGUGAAGAGCGCCAUUUCGGGAGCGAGAGAGAGAGAGAGAGUGUGUGGGGGAGGUAGAGAAUGAGAAAUAGAAGAAGUGAUCGAAUUUAUCGGUGCGGUAGGCGGCCAGUGCGCUUUGGCUGCGCCACCUGCACCAAUACGAAUGACGAGAUCGUUUACCCUUUUG
rnacentral:misc_RNA from 1 species